rnacentral:sRNA from 1 species
GGAUGGGUAGGUAGACUUUUCCUUCCUCCCUCACCAAUUCAUGUGCAUCCUCCUGAAGCCAUGUGCUCAAUUGAAGAGGUCAACCUUCCCUAUAUAGUGGAACUAGUCUUCAGUCAAAGGUAUUCAAGUAGCUGCAAUUGCUUGCUAGAACCUCUCAACAAGCUCUCAAGAUAAUAAUGGUUUAUAUGUUUGGAGGCCAGCAUUACACAACAUCCUUUCUUGUAGCUGUCACUGUCAUGAGCAAUGGAUUUACCAA